rnacentral:rRNA from 1 species
CCGGCACGGGUGGAGUAACACGUAUGCAACCUGCCUGCCACAGCCGGAUAAUCGGGAGAAAUUCCGUCUAAUACGGCAUAAUGCAUCGACGGGACAUCCUGUUGGUGCCAAAGGUUGAUUCCGGUGGCGGAUGGGCAUGCGUCGCAUUAGUUAGUUGGCGGUGUAACGGACCACCAAGACGACGAUGCGUAGGGGUUCUGAGAGGAAGGUCCCCCACACUGGUACUGAGACACGGACCAGACUCCUACGGAAGGCAGCAG